rnacentral:tRNA from 1 species
CCGGCGGUAGCUGGGUGGUUAAAGCAUGACGGGACGCCUACCCGGGCUCCUGUUCAGGAUCGUCGGUUCGACUCCGACCCGCCAUA